ACUCAAAUGAAUUGACGGGGGCUCACACAAGCGGUGGAGCAUGUGGCUUAAUUCGAAGCAACGCGAAGAACCUGACCUGGGUUUGACAUGCAUGGAUUAGUUCUGUGAAAGCAGAAUGACGCGGCUUGCCGUGGAACAUGCACAGGUGCUGCAUGGCUGUCGUCAGCUCGUGUCGUGAGAUGUCGGGUUAAGUCCCCUAACGAGCGAAACCCUUGUCGCUAGUUGCUAACGGGUAAUGCUGAGCACUUUAGCGAGACUGCCGGUGUUAAACCGGAGGAAGGUGGGGAUGACGUCAAGUCCUCAUGGCCUUUAUGCCCAGGGCUGCACACGUGCUACAAUGGGAUGGUACAAAGCGACGCGAAGCCGCGAGGCGGAGCAAAUCGCAGAAAACUUCCCUCAGUUCGGAUUGCAGGCUGCAACUCGCCUGCAUGAAGCUGGAAUCGCUAGUAAUCGCGCAUCAGCUAUGGCGCGGUGAAUAUGUUCCUGAGCCUUGUACACACCGCCCGU
rnacentral:rRNA from 1 species